CAGUGGUCUUUGAUGCUAUUUUAAGAAAUGAGCAUUAAUAGGUAUGAAGAUUCUGAAAAGAGGAUGUCUAAAAACAGACCAAACUAUACUGUCCUCUGUUAUCUAUAUAUAGAUGUGGUUUAAAGAUGUUUGAGUAACCAGUAGUCCAGCACAUACCACACACCAUCUUGUCUACUUAGCAGUAUUAUUUACUUUCUCAUAUAUUUGUCUUACCUCUGUUAAUUGUGCCGUAACAUAUAGGGCAUCAGCAGUAUCAUUCCUGUUUGAGGGUCACCUCAGUAUUUUAACAAUGUGUGUGUCUCACAGAUAGCAGAUGCUCAUUGGAUGUUUGUGUGUAAAACUUGGGAUGUAGCUGGUUCUUCUGAAGGAGAGUUAUUUUGGUUAGUUUAUUUGGACUUGCCUCAUGACGAUGGGCAGCACAGCGUGUUAUGUUUAUAGCAACUGAAGCAUUUGACUGUAUAAGGCAUCCUGCGUUAUGUACACAAAACUGGGCAGUCUUUUCUAAUUAGUCAUCGCCAUUUCUUGUCUUGCGAUGAUCUGAGGAACUCUAAUAGAACUGCAAAAAAACUGAGAGCCAAUGUCCAAGCAGAAAGGACACUUAGAAGUAUAGACAGGCCAAUAAGUCACACCUGUCUCUUCAGUUAGAUGAUAAACUGUCAGAAAAAUGAAAAAUACAGUAGAAAAUAUAGCUGGGGUCCAGGGUUUUCAAUCUGUGGGUAAAGUCUAAUGAGAUUGUCAAGAUAGCAUGGAUCCAUAUAGCUUCAGAAACUUAAAAAAAAAAAAAACGAAACUAGGUUAGCACCUAUUUUAACUGACCUUCAAUUGAAUUGGACUGUAUGCAUAAAAUAUACCGAUUUUAACAGUGUAGAAAUUUAUUUCUGUCUCCUGUGAAAGACACUGCUGCCUGCUGCAUACUAAGUUGUUUAAGUUGUGUCCAACUCUUUGUGACCCUAUGGACUGUAGGCUCUUCUGUCCAUGGGAUUCUCCAAGCAAGAAUCCUGGAGUGGGUUGCUGUUCCUCCUUCAGGGGAUCUUUAGUCUUUUAUGUCUCCUGUAUUGGCAGGUGGAUUCUUUACCACUAGCGCCACCUGGGAAGCCCUGUGAAAGACACCAGAGAUACUUAAUCCAGAGAACUUGAGUUAACAAACCAGGGUCAAACAGUUUGGUGAUGGCAAAACUUUAAAUUCAUCAUCUGAGAGGUUAAUUGAUAACAGCAUCUGCCUUCUGUGCUGCAAAGAUUUAAUACUAGAAAAUGACAUACUUAGAAAAAUGCCUGGCAACACAGUAAAAGUCCUAACUGUUAAUAUUAUUAGGGACCUUGGAUGAAUCAACAGAUCACAUCCAUAAGUGAAAACUAAUGCUGUGAUAACUUACUUGUAGGAAGGAUGCAGGGUGUUAUGAGAGGAUAUAAUCAGGGUUUCUGGACUUCUCUGGUGGUUCAGUGGUUGAGACCCUACACCUCACUGAAGGGGGCACAGUUCCAUCCCUGAUCUGUGAACUAAAAUCCCACAUGGCUGGGUGUUGGCCCGGUGGCCGGCUGAAACUCAUUCUAGGCAGAGAGAACUAACCUGUCCUGAAUCUGGAGGGAGUAUGGGGAAGGACUAAAAGGAGGGUUUGUAGAUUCUAGACGAUGAGUCUGGAGAGAGGGGCAACUUCCAAGGGGACAUAGUAGGGAUUUUGGUCUGUAACUGAAGAGCGGUGGGCCUGCUCAUCCACAGAGGAAGCCUGGAGGGUGAUUUCAGCUGGAUGCAGCCUUAUUCGUGAGCCUGAUUGUUGGUCUCUGACCUCUGCGAGGCUGAUACACAGAAGGGUCCAGUUUAAUGUAUCACAGGGGAACAGAGAAGAGAGGAGAUGAGUCCCACACCAGGGGAUGGAAGCUGAUUAUGAAAAGCUGCCCCACUACAGCUGCUGCCUUUUGAAAAAUAUAAACAUGGUUUAAGUAAACACAUCAUCAUCUUGUAGGAAUGUUAGACAGGGCUGACUAUGCCCCCUCCCUCACCAAAGGCUGCGUCUUAUCUAACUAGCAUAUGUGAAAGUCAAUUUCUUUUUUAAUCAGGAAGCUACAGAAACAAGCUCAUUUUGUGAUUUAAUCUUAACUUGUAAGCACUAAUGAUAAUUAAAAUUUAUUCUAAAAAUUAAAAAAAAUCUUCAUGUACAUUUUUGAUAUGUUGUCAUGAGAGUAUUAAGAUAUUAUAGAUAAGUGGCUCCAAAUAUUCCAGCACUUGAAAAUUUUAAAAAUGACAUUUCUCCCUGAACUCAGCAUUAUGGUAGUAAUGAAGAAUCUAGAAUCAAAGUAUUUCUGGGGAAGAAAUAUUUUUUCAAGCAUACCAAGUCUCAGAGGCAGCAGUGAGUCAGUGUAUAAUCAAGCCACAUUUGGAUCUGGCUGAAAAAUGUAGGUCAAUGAGAGAUGAUGCUUUUUGUCAUAGUUAAACAUCUGUUGGGCAUAUUAGAUGUCAAACACUGCCGUAGAGAACAACUUGAUUUGGCAUCAUCAUCGUAGUUAAUAAUUGAAAUAGAAAGAAAAAGAAAGAACCCUCAUCAUAAUUGGGCAAAGGAAUGAAGAUGAUUCAUAUUUAAAUACAUAAUAUGAAUUAGUUCUGAGAUUACAGAAGCCACA